UACGGAGGGUGCAAGCGUUGUUCGGAAUUAUUGGGCGUAAAGCGCGCGCAGGCGGUUUCGUAAGUCCAGGGGUGAAAUGCCGGAGCUCAACUCCGCGCCCGCCCCGGAUACUGCGGAACUGGAGACACGUAGAGGCUGGCGGAAUUCCGGGUGUAGCGGUGGAAUGCGUAGAGAUCCGGAAGAACACCGGAGGCGAAGGCGGCCAGCUGGGCGUGAUCUGACGCUGAGGCGCGAAGGCGUGGGGAGCGAACAGG
rnacentral:rRNA from 1 species